rnacentral:rRNA from 1 species
UUGAAAGGGAAACGAUUGAAGUCAGUCGUACCGACGAGAAAUCAGCUCUUUGAGUGUGAACUUGUGGGCGUGCGUGAGCUUUACGGUCUCGCUGUUUGCAAUGUUUGUUCUUUUUGGGUGUACUUUUUCGUAUGGUAGGCCAACAUCAGUUUCGAAUAUCAUAAAAUGACCGGAGGAAUGUAGCUUCGAUCUUGUAUUGAAGUGUUAUAGCCUUUGGUAGAUGUGGUGUUUGGGACUGAGGAUUGCAACGAAUAUCCUUUGGGCUAUCCGUCUGAUCUCUGAAAGUUGCUUAGGUGCCGAAAGCGUGCUUACGGUUAUUUAAGUUGACGGUCAACAGGUUAGAACGUGAUUACAUUCGUUAAGGAUGUUGACGUA